GGAUAAUGCUUUUAAACUAUGUCUUCGAAAAUCAACUCUUUGAACAGGAAACGUUGGUUUCCAGUGUUGCUUCUUAUCUUCAGUCUUUUGCAAGGCGGAAUUUCCACUUAUUGUACACCACACUACCAUUACCAAGGUCCAUGCAAUUCAACUGAACCUUGUUGGACAUAUAAUGAGACGUAUCAUGAAUGUGACCCGCACACAAAUGGAAGUUUUGGUCUUACAAGCGUGUUUGGGAGCUGCUACAUCUGUUCCAUUAUGUGCCAUCUUGAAGGUUUCCCCGAGGACUAUUGCGCAACAAGAUGGCCAAGAACGCCAAGGAGAGCUUAAAAACUACAGCAUUUGCGAGAAUCUAUAGUUCGUCAUGAGGGCAUUUCUGAUAACAAAUAAAUGCGUAAAAAUAAAUUGUUUACAAAAGCA